CAGUCGCCGCGGUAAAACGAAGGGUGCAAGCGUUAAUCGGAAUUACUGGGCGUAAAGCGCACGUAGGCGGCUUGGUAAGUUAGAGGUGAAAGCCUGGAGCUCAACUCCAGAAUUGCCUUUAAGACUGCCGAGCUAGCAGGUGAGAGAGGUAAGUGGAAUUCCGAGUGUAGAGGUGAAAUUCGUAGAUAUUCGGAAGAACACCAGUGGCGAAGGCGGCUUACUGGCUCAUACUGGACGCUGAGGUGCGAAAGCGUGGGGAGCAAACAGGAUUAGAUACCCGAGUAGUCCCUGUCUCUUAUAC
rnacentral:rRNA from 1 species